UCGUAACGGCGAGUGAAGCGGCAAAAGCUCAAAUUUGAAAUCCCCCCGGGGAGUUGUAAUUUGAAGAUUGCGUCUUGGAGGCGACCGUGUCUAUGUUCCUUGGAACAGGACGUCACAGAGGGUGAGAAUCCCGUGCGGCACGGCCCCCGGCUCCUUAUAAGGCGCUCUCGACGAGUCGAGUUGUUUGGGAAUGCAGCUCAAAGUGGGUGGUAAAUUCCAUCUAAAGCUAAAUACAGGCGAGAGACCGAUAGCGAACAAGUACAGUGAUGGAAAGAUGAAAAGCACUUUGAAAAGAGAGUGAAACAGCACGUGAAAUUGUUGAAAGGGAAGGGCAUGCCGUCAGAUUGUCAGUGUGGGUAAGAAGCGGGGUACAAAGACUGUGGAACGUGGCCCUCGGGUGUUAUAGCCGCAGUUCAUGCCCCGUCUCUUUCC
rnacentral:rRNA from 1 species